GGUCAUGGGAGGAUUGGCGA
rnacentral:miRNA from 1 species